rnacentral:rRNA from 1 species
GACGAACGCUGGCGGCGUGCCUAAUACAUGCAAGUCGAACGCACAGUUUAUACCGUAGCUUGCUACACCAUAGACUGUGAGUUGCGAACGGGUGAGUAACGCGUAGGUAACCUGCCUGGUAGCGGGGGAUAACUAUUGGAAACGAUAGCUAAUACCGCAUAAUAUUAAUUAUUGCAUGGUAAUUAAUUGAAAGGUGCAAUUGCACCACUACCAGAUGGACCUGCGUUGUAUUAGCUAGUAGGUGAGGUAACGGCUCACCUAGGCGACGAUACAUAGCCGACCUGAGAGGGUGAUCGGCCACACUGGGACUGAGACACGGCCCAGAAUCCUACGGGAGGCAGCAGUAGGGAAUCUUCGGCAAUGGACGAAAGUCUGACCGAGCAACGCCGCGUGAGUGAAGAAGGGUUUCGGAUCGUAAAGCUCUGUUGUAAGAGAAGAACGGGUGUGAGAGUGGAAAGUUCACACUGUGACGGUAUCUUACCAGAAAGGGACGGCUAACUACGUG